rnacentral:rRNA from 1 species
UACGUAGGUGACGAGCGUUAUCCGGAAUUAUUGGGCGUCAAAGCGCCCGCAGGCGGCUGUUCAAGUCUGACGUGAAAUCGCUCGGCUUAACUGGGCGGGGUCGUUGGAAACUGAAUAGCUUGAGGCAAGGAGAGGGGCGUGGAAUUCCCGGUGUAGUGGUGGAAUGCGUAGAUAGUCGGGAGGAACAUCAGUGGCGCAAGCGGCGCCCUGGCCUUAGCCUGACGCUCAGGGGCGAAAGCGUGGGGAGCGAACGGG